CCUACGUGAGGCUGCAGUGAGGAAUAUUGGUCAAUGGACGAGAGUCUGAACCAGCCAAGUAGCGUGAAGGAUGACUGCCCUAUGGGUUGUAAACUUCUUUUAUAAAGGAAUAAAACGAGGCACGUGUGCCUUUUUGCAUGUACUUUAUGAAUAAGGAUCGGCUAAAUCCGUGCCCGCAGCCGCGGUAAUACGGAGGAUCCGAGCGUUAUCCGAAUUUAUUGGGUUUAAAGGGAGCGUAGAUGGGUUGUUAAGUCAGUUGUGAAAGUUUGCGGCUCAACCGUAAAAUUGCAAUUGAUACUGGCAGUCUUGAGUACAGUUGAGGUAGGCGGAAUUCGUGGUGUAGCGGUGAAAUGCUUAGAUAUCACGAAGAACCCCGAUUGCGAAGGCAGCUUACUAAACUGUGACUGAUAUUGAUGCUCGAAAGUGUGGGUAUCAAACAGGAUUAGAUACCCCAGUAGUC
rnacentral:rRNA from 1 species